UACGUAGGGGGCUAGCGUUGUCCGGAAUCAUUGGGCGAAAGCGCGUGUAGGCGGUCCGGUAAGUCGCUGUGAAAGUCGGGGUCGAACCCUCGAAUGCCGGUGGAAACUGUCGGGCUAGAGUACGGAAGAGGCGAGUGGAAUCCUGGUGGUAGCGGUGAAAUGCGCAGAUAUAGGAGGAACACCAAUUGCGAAGGCAGCUC
rnacentral:rRNA from 1 species